GCUGCGCUCGUUUUCCUUUCAGAGCCAGAGACGCGGGGAAGGGAGACGUUUCCUCAGAAGUCAAAGACCAACACGUGCUGGCUGCAAGGGGGGGCAGCGCCGCGGGGGGGGCGGGGGCGGGGCGGGGCGGGGCGGGGCGGUCCGCUCGGGGCUGCGCUGACCCCGGGAGCCCCACGGCCGCCGCCGCAGGGGACCAGCCGACGCUACGGCGGGAGUCAGCGGCCGGCCACGGCCCUUCUUUCCCUGGAUCCGCAGCCGCAAGUCCUCACCUCCCUGGCUCACCUCCGUGCUGCUGCGACGGCCACAGCCUCCGGACGCGGCUCCGCGGCGGCCCGCACGCCCUCCGCGCUCAGCCCUCGCACACCACGUUCCUGCUCUCCACACUGCGCACGCUCACCCCCACACUCACGCACCGCACAACACACGCCUCACCCUCACACUGACUUACCUGCACGCGUCCGCUGCACGCACUCACCCCCCUGCACUCCCUACACGCACCACCCUGUGGGAACACACUCUCACACAUCCACACACACCGCGUGCAUUCCCUCACACACACCACCCACACCCUCCUCACACACGCACUCGCGUGGGAACACACCCUCACACAUCCACACACACUCCCCCUGUGCACUCCCUCACACACACCACCCACACCCUCCUCACACACGCACUCGCGUGGGAACACACUCACACAUCCACACACACCGCGUGCACUCCCUCACACACACCACCCACACCCUCCUCACACACGCAAUCGCGUGGGAACACACAAUCACACAUCCACACACACUCCCCCUGUGCACUCCCUCACACACACCACCCACACCCUCCUCACACACGCAAUCGCGUGGGAACACACUCUCACACAUCCACACACACCGCGUGCACUCCCUCACACACGCCACCCACACCCUCCUCACACACGCACUCGCGUGGGAACACACAAUCACACAUCCACACACACUCCCCCUGUGCACUCCCUCACACACACCACCCACACCCUCCUCACACACGCAAUCGUGUGGGAACACACUCUCACACAUCCACACACACCGCGUGCAUUCCCUCACACACGCCACCCACACCCUCCUCACACACGCACUCGCGUGGGAACACACUCACACAUCCACACACACCGCGUGCACUCCCUCACACACACCACGCCACACCCUCCUCACACACGCAAUCGUGUGGGAACACACUCUCACACAUCCACACACACCGCGUGCAUUCCCUCACACACACCACCCACACCCUCCUCACACACGCACUCGCGUGGGAACACACAAUCACACAUCCACACACACUCCCCCUGUGCACUCCCUCACACACACCACCCACACCCUCCUCACACACGCAAUCGUGUGGGAACACACUCUCACACAUCCACACACACCGCGUGCAUUCCCUCACACACACCACCCACACCCUCCUCACACACGCAAUCGUGUGGGAACACACUCUCACACAUCCACACACACCGCGUGCAUUCCCUCACACACGCCACCCACACCCUCCUCACACACGCACUCGCGUGGGAACACACUCUCACACAUCCACACACACCGCGUGCACUCCCUCACACACACCACGCCACACCCUCCUCACACACGCACUCCUGCUGUAACACACUCUCACACAUCCACACACACUCACCCCUGUGCACUCCCUCACACACACCACACCCUCCGCACACAUGCACUCGUGUGGGAACACACAAUCACACAUCCACACACAACCCUGUGCACUCCCUCACACACACCACACCCUCCUCACACACGCACUCCUGAGGUAACACACUCUCACACAUCCACACACACCGCGUGCAUUCCCUCACACACACCACCCACACCCUCCUCACACACGCACUCGCGUGGGAACACACUCUCACACAUCCACACACACUCACCCCUGUGCACUCCCUCACACACACCACACCUUCCUCAGACACGCACUCGCGUGGGAACACACACAUCCACACACACUCAUCCCUGUGCACUCCCUUUUACUCAUCCACACAUCUCACCACUCACUCACAUGUGA
rnacentral:lncRNA from 1 species